UACAGAGGGUGCGAGCGUUGUCCGGAAUCACUGGGCGUAAAGGGCGCGUAGGCGGUCCGCUAAGUGUGUGGUGAAAGCUCGGGGCUCAACCCCGAGUCGGCCGUGCAAACUGGUGGACUUGAGCAUGUCAGAGGCAGGCGGAAUUCCGGGUGUAGCGGUGGAAUGCGUAGAGAUCCGGAGGAACACCAGUGGCGAAGGCGACACGCUGGGCCAUACCUGACGCUAAAGCGCGACAGCAUGGGGAGCAAACAGG
rnacentral:rRNA from 1 species